AUUGAACGCUGGCGGCAGGCCUAACACAUGCAAGUCGAACGAGUGGCGGACGGGUGAGUAAUGUCUGGGAAACUGCCUGAUGGAGGGGGAUAACUACUGGAAACGGUAGCUAAUACCGCAUACCAUCAGAUGUGCCCAGAUGGGAUUAGCUAGUUGGUGGGGUAACGGCUCACCAAGGCGACGAUCCCUAGCUGGGCUGAGAGGAUGACCAGCCACACUGGAACUGAGACACGGCCCAGACUCCUACGGGAGGCAGCAGUGGGGAAUAUUGCACAAUGGGCGAAAGCCUGAUGGAGCCAUGCCGCGUGGAUGAAGAAGGCUUUCGGGUUGUAAAGUACUUUUGGCGGGGAAGCGUUACCCGAAGAAGAAGCACCGGCUAACUCCGUGCCAGCAGCCGCGGUAAUUC
rnacentral:rRNA from 1 species